AUUGAACGCUGGCGGCAGGCCUAACACAUGCAAGUCGAGCGGAUGAAGGGAGCUUGCUCCUGGAUUCAGCGGCGGACGGGUGAGUAAUGCCUAGGAAUCUGCCUGGUAGUGGGGGAUAACGCCCGGAAACGGGCGCUAAUACCGCAUACGUCCUGAGGGAGAAAGUGGGGGAUCUUCGGACCUCACGCUAUCAGAUGAGCCUAGGUCGGAUUAGCUAGUUGGUGGGGUAAAGGCCUACCAAGGCGACGAUCCGUAACUGGUCUGAGAGGAUGAUCAGUCACACUGGAACUGAGACCCGGUCCAGACUCCUACGGGAGGCAGCAGUGGGGAAUAUUGGACAAUGGGCGAAAGCCUGAUCCAGCCAUGCCGCGUGUGUGAAGAAGGUCUUCGGAUUGUAAAGCACUUUAAGUUGGGAGGAAGGGCAGUAAGUUAAUACCUUGCUGUUUUGACGUUACCAACAGAAUAAGCACCGGCUAACUUCGUG
rnacentral:rRNA from 1 species